rnacentral:misc_RNA from 1 species
UCUCCGUUGGUGAACCAGCGGAGGGAUCAUUACUGAGUUUACAACUCCCAAACCCUUUGUGAAUUCGACCCAGUUGCCUCGGGGGCGACCCGGCCUUCGGGCGUCGGGGCCCCCGGUGGACCACCCAACCCUGCAUCGUUGCGUCUGAGUCGAAAUAUAAAUCAAUCAAAACUUUCAACAACGGAUCUCUUGGUUCUGGCAUCGAUGAAGAACGCAGC